UACAGAGGGGGCAAGCGUUGUUCGGAAUUACUGGGCGUAAAGGGCGCGUAGGCGGCCUUCUAAGUCGAACGUGAAAUCCCUGGGCUCAACCCAGGAACUGCGUUCGAUACUGGAAGGCUUGAAUCCGGGAGAGGGAUGCGGAAUUCCUAGUGUAGAGGUGAAAUUCGUAGAUAUUAGGAAGAACACCAGUGGCGAAGGCGGCUCACUGGUCCGGUACUGACGCUGAGGUGCGAAAGCGUGGGGAGCAAACAGGG
rnacentral:rRNA from 1 species